GAGGGUAUAGCUCAUUGGUAGAGCACAUGCUUAGCAUGCACAAGGUCCUGGGUUCAAUCCCCAGUACCUUUG
rnacentral:tRNA from 1 species